GUCAGAUUUAUGCAGGCGAAUCGUUCGAGCGAUAUGAAGAAGAAUUGAGCGACGCUGGUUCCCAGCCACGACAAGAAGCCGACUUGAGUGAGUAUCCAUUC